UACGUAGGUGGCAAGCGUUGUCCGGAAUUACUGGGUGUAAAGGGCGUGUAGGCGGGAAGGCAAGUCAGAUGUGAAAGCCCAUGGCUUAACUGUGGAACUGCAUCUGAAACUGUUUUUCUUGAGUACUGGAGAGGAAAGUGGAAUUCCUAGUGUAGCGGUGAAAUGCGUAGAGAUUAGGAGGAACACCAGUGGCGAAGGCGGCUUUCUGGACAGUAACUGACGCUGAGGCGCGAAAGCGUGGGGAGCAAACAGGAUUAGAUACCCGUGUA
rnacentral:rRNA from 1 species